UGGGGGAUAUUGCGCAAUGGGGGCAACCCUGACGCAGCAACGCCGCGUGAAGGAUGAAGGUUUUCGGAUUGUAAACUUCUUUUAUUAAGGACGAAAAUUGACGGUACUUAAUGAAUAAGCUCCGGCUAACUACGUGCCAGCAGCCGCGGUAAUACGUAGGGAGCAAGCGUUGUCCGGAUUUACUGGGUGUAAAGGGUGCGUAGGCGGCUUUGCAAGUCAGAUGUGAAAACUAUGGGCUUAACCCAUAAACUGCAUUUGAAACUGUGGUUCUUGAGUGAAGUAGAGGUAAGCGGAAUUCCUAGUGUAGCGGUGAAAUGCGUAGAUAUUAGGAGGAACAUCAGUGGCGAAGGCGGCUUACUGGGCUUUAACUGACGCUGAGGCUCGAAAGCGUGGGGAGCAAACAGGAUUAGAUACCCUGGUAGUCCACGCCGUAAACGAUGAUUACUAGGUGUGGGGGGACUGACCCCUUCCGUGCCGCAGCAAACGCAAUAAGUAAUCCACCUGGGGAGUACGACCGCAAGGUUGAAACUCAAAGGAAUUGACGGGGGCCCGCACAAGCAGUGGAGUAUGUGGAUUAAUUCGAAGCAACGCGAAGAACCUUACCAGGUCUUGACAUCGUAUGCAUAGCUCAGAGAUGAGUGAAAUCUCUUCGGAGACAUAUAGACAGGUGGUGCAUGGUUGUCGUCAGCUCGUGUCGUGAGAUGUUGGGUUAAGUCCCGCAACGAGCGCAACCCUUACUGUUAGUUGCUACGCAAGAGCACUCUAGCAGGACUGCCGUUGACAAAACGGAGGAAGGUGGGGAUGACGUCAAAUCAUCAUGCCCCUUAUGACCUGGGCCUCACACGUACUACAAUGGCUGUCAACAGAGGGAAGCAAAGCCGCGAGGUGGAGCGAACCCCUAAAAGCAGUCUUAGUUCGGAUUGUAGGCUGCAACCCGCCUACAUGAAGUCGGAAUUGCUAGUAAUCGCAGAUCAGCAUGCUGCGGUGAAUACGUUCCC
rnacentral:rRNA from 1 species